rnacentral:rRNA from 1 species
GCCAGACUCCUACGGGAGGCAGCAGUGGGGGAUAUUGCACAAUGGGGGGAACCCUGAUGCAGCGACGCCGCGUGGGUGAAGGAGCGUUUCGGCGCGUAAAGCCCUAUCGGCAGGGAAGAAGGAGGACGGUACCUGACUAAGAAGCCCCGGCUAACUACGUGCCAGCAGCCGCGGUAAUACGUAGGGGGCAAGCGUUAUCCGGAUUUACUGGGUGUAAAGGGGGCGCAGACGGCAGCGCAAGCCAGGAGUGAAAGCCCGGGGCCCAACCCCGGGACUGCUCUUGGAACUGCGCGGCUGGAGUGCAGGAGGGGCAGGCGGAAUUCCUGGUGUAGCGGUGAAAUGCGUAGAUAUCAGGAGGAACACCAGUGGCGAAGGCGGCUUUCUGGCUCAUAACUGACGCUGAGGCGCGAAAGCGUGGGGAGCAAACAGGAUUAGAUACCCUGGUA